UACGUAGGGUGCGAGCGUUAAUCGGAAUUACUGGGCGUAAAGCGUGCGUAGGCGGUUCGCUGUGUCCGAUGUGAAAGCCCCGGGCUUAACCUGGGAAUGGCAUUGGAAACUGGCGGGCUUGAGUGCGGGCAGAGGGGGGUGGAAUUCCGCGUGUAGCAGUGAAAUGCGUAGAGAUGCGGAGGAACACCGAUGGCGAAGGCAGCCCCC
rnacentral:rRNA from 1 species